UUUGCCAACUAGCGGUAGGGGAGCGUAGUAUAAGCAAUGAAGCUAAAUCGUGAGAGUUAGUGGAGUUUCUACUAGUGAGAAUGCCGGCGUGAGUAACGAUAGAAGGUGAGAAUCCUUCUGGCCGUAUGACCAAGGUUUCCAGGGUGAAGGUCGUCUACCCUGGGUUAGUCGGGACCUAAGGCGAGGCCGAAAGGCGUAGUCGAUGGACAACAGGUUAAUAUUCCUGUACUAACCAUAAUUACUGAUGGAGUGACGGAGUCAGCUAAGAUAAACCAGUUAUUGAAUUCUGGUCCAAGUACAAAGAGGUUGUUGUUGGUAAAUCCGCAGCAUUUAACCUUGAAGUAUGAGAUUUAUCCGAACGCUUUGCUUCCAAGAAAAGCUUCUAAAGAUAUAAUUAUGGUACCCGUACCGAGAACGAACACACGUGGUCGAGGAGAAUAUCCUAAGGCCAGCGAGAAAACUAUAGUCAAGGAACUCGGCAAAUUAGCCCCGUAAGUUCGCGAGAAGGGGUGCCUAUGGCAACAUAGGCCACAGUAAAGAGGCACGAACGACUGUUUAUCAAAAACACAGCUCUCUGCUAAGGCGUAAGCCGAUGUAUAGGGGGCGACGCCUGCCCAGUGCUCCAAGGUUAAGAAGAGGGGUUAGCCAACAAGUAAUUGUUGGUGAAGCUCUGAAUUGAAGCCCGAGUGAACGGCGGCCGUAACUAUAACGGUCCAAAGGUAGCGAAACUCCUUGUCAGGUAAGUUCUGACCCGCAUGAAAGGCGUAACGAUUCGUGCACUGUCUCGACUGUAGACUCGGUGAAAUCUUAGUACCGGUGAAGAUGCCGGUUACCCGCAACUAGACGGAAAGACCCCGUGGAGCUUUACUGCAACUUAAUAUUGAAUUUUCUCUUGUUUGUACUGUGACAGUAGGUGGGAGACUAUGAGGCCAAGACGCCAGUUUUGGCGGAGUCGUCGGUGGGACACCACCCUGACGGAGGGAACAAUUCUAACUUAUUGGUUUACAGCCAAAAGGACAGUGUUUGGUGGGUAGUUUGACUGGGGCGGUCGCCUCCUAAAAAGUAACGGAGGUGUUCAUAAGGUAUCCUCAAUAGGUAUAGAAAUCCUAUGAAGAGCGCAAAGGUAAAAGGAUGCUUAACUGUGAGACAAACAAGUCGAACAGAUACGAAAGUAGGACUUAGUGAUCCGGCGGUUACCUAGUGGUAGGGCCGUCGCUAAACGGAUAAAAGUUACCCCGGGGAUAACAGGCUAAUACUUCCCAAGAGACCACAUCGACGGAAGUGUUUGGCACCUCGAUGUCGACUCAUCAUAUCCUGGAGGUG
rnacentral:rRNA from 1 species